UAACGGAUUUUGAGUGAAGGAGUUGAGUUCGCUGCAUUUAGGGUUUCAAACUAACCAGAUUGAAAGAUUGUAUAUUUAUAAGGACCCCUUAUCAUCGCUUCUCUGGUCCU